GUAGCAGUACGAAAUACCUGCUCCAAGUUUAUUGGUUUAGAACAGUACGCCCUCCAUACGUAGGAGGGCGCUCCGGCUAUAAAAGGGGAGCUCCUCCGGUAAGGAAGUAAUUUCAGGAAACGGCUGGUUUUAAGUGUACCACUACGUGUUACCAACCCGUGUCCUUUGGCUGCGUUUUUGGGGUGAUCGGCUCUGCUCCAACUGUGCUUGGGCAAUUAAUCAGUGUUGGGUGUGACAUCAUCGCUUGCCUUUGCUAAACAAAACAUUAGCAAACGGGAAAGAUUGAAUCCCCGUUGCUGCUGGGCAGGGAGUUCCCUUCUACUCAGGGGUCAUCGGUGAGAGGAUCGAUUUCUCCGUGGUCCAGCGGGAGGCGCCGCUGUUUUGUUUCGUUUCCUUUUUCUACAUUUCAAAUCAGCUGUUUGAAGGAAGUUCCCUGGCUCAUGGCCGGAGUCCAGAAGGAAGAACAGCUGAUUUAUAUUGUACACAUUUUAUACCGUUUUUAAUCUUUUUUUUUCUUUGUGCAGGCUGAGGCAGGAGGUGUGGUGUGUGGCCUCGGAGGUGGUGGUCCCGUGUGCGUGUGGUGGUGCUGGUUUUCUCACGUUGGUAUGAAUGUUCACUGCCAGGGGUGAAUCCUUUAUACGUUCUUCAUUAUUUUUCUUGUGUUGGGGCUUCUCUGCCCCGCGUUACCUGCCUCCAUCGCUAGCCUCAGUCCUGCUUCUUAACCUUUUUAUUUAAAUUUGUAGUUGAAUUGUGUUUAGUUAACUCUCAUUUUUUUGGGACCUCAUGAAUCAAUUUCAGUGAGUUAAAUUAAUUUGUUUCUUCAUACAUUUCAUUGGUUCAGUUUCUGUUGGGGCAUUAAUUUUAGUAUUCUUUUAUGGUAUUUUACAUGGCCAGUUUUUAAAAUGUCUUUUAAACUGUCUCCUCUAUAAAAUAAAACAAAUUUAUUGUAACUUCUGAAACCA